UACGUAGGGUGCGAGCGUUAAUCGGAAUUACUGGGCGUAAAGCGUGCGCAGGCGGUCUGUUAAGACCGAUGUGAAAUCCCCGGGCUCAACCUGGGAAUGGCAUUGGUGACUGUACGGCUAGAGUGUGUCAGAGGGGGGUAGAAUUCCACGUGUAGCAGUGAAAUGCGUAGAGAUGUGGAGGAAUACCGAUGGCGAAGGCAGCCCCCUGGGAUAACACUGACGCUCAUGCACGAAAGCGUGGGGAGCAAACAGG
rnacentral:rRNA from 1 species